rnacentral:rRNA from 1 species
AAUAUUGGACAAUGGGGGCAACCCUGAUCCAGCCAUGCCGCGUGUGUGAAGAAGGUCNNNGGAUUNUAAUGCACUUUAAGUUGNGAGNAAGGGCUUUAGGUUAAUACCCUGAAGUUUUGACGUUACCAACAGAAUAAGCACCGGCUAACUCUGUGCCAGCAGCCGCGGUAAUACUGAGGGUGCAAGCGUUAAUCGGAAUUACUGGUUGUAAAUCGCGCGUACGUGGUUCAGUAAGAUGGAAGUGACAUCCCCGGGCUUAACCUGGGAACUGCUUUCAUAACUGCUGACCUAGAGUACGGUAGAGGGUAGUGGAAUUUCCUGUGUAGCGGUGAAAUGCGUAGAUAUAGGAAGGAACACCAGUGGCGAAGGCGACUACCUGGACUGAUACUGACACUGAGGUGCGAAAGCGUGGGGAGCAAACA